rnacentral:rRNA from 1 species
GAUGAACGCUAGCGAUAGGCUUAACACAUGCAAGUCGAGGGGCAGCAUGGUCUUAGCUUGCUAAGACUGAUGGCGACCGGCGCACGGGUGCGUAACGCGUAUGCAACUUGCCUCACAGAGGGGGAUAACCCGUCGAAAGACGGACUAAUACCGCGUACACUCCAUCUUGGGCAUCCAAGGUAGAGGAAAUGAAAUUCGCUGUGAGAUAGGCAUGCGUCCCAUUAGCUAGUUGGUGAGGUAACGGCUCACCAAGGCGACGAUGGGUAGGGGAACUGAGAGGUUGAACCCCCACACUGGUACUGAGACACGGACCAGACUCCUACGGGAGGCAGCAGUGAGGAAUAUUGGUCAAUGGGCGAGAGCCUGAACCAGCCAAGUCGCGUGAAGGAUGACUGUCUUAGGGAUUGUAAACUUCUUGUAUACGGGAAUAACAAGAGUCACGUGUGACUCCCUGCAGGUACCGUAUGAAUAAGCAUCGGCUAACUCCGUG